ensembl:lncRNA
CACACAUUAGGAAUAGACCUCCUCGAGCACAAUAGUGGUUUUGUGUGCUGCUUUCUCAUGCCUUGUUGAAGAGUAGGAGUGGCUGGAUAACAUGUGAAGAAGCACUCUAGUUUACCGCAGGCCAAAGUGUAAAAACUUGCUGCAAAUGAUUUGUUUCUUCAUCUCUGUGCUCAUUUGGGAGAAUGGAGCAGAUACUGACAGCAGGGUGUUCUGGGAAGGAGCAGAGAUGGCAACUAUGUGCCCUGAACUUCUGUGAGGGUAUUUCCGAGGUCAUCAGCGGUCCCAUGGGGGAAAUGAGUCAGCAAAAGCCUUAUCAUCAGCGCGUUCACUGAUCGGCCUUCUCCACUGAGUGCCCUCAGGAGCGAUGUCCUUCCUUUGAUCCCUCACAACGUCACCUCGGAGCGAGGAACCGCAGUUGCACUGUAGUGAGCUGCAGAUCUCAGCGACCGCUGCGAGGAGCACCGCGUUAUCCCGAGCAGCUCUGAGUCACCGCGCAGCCACGGCCGUGUCACAGAGCCGAGAACCGCCGCCAGCUGAGAGGGACCCUUCUCACCUCCCACCGCUAUCAAAUGUCACCCACCCAUCUAUCUCAGCGUCCCUCAUUAUGAAGCUCAUCACUCAUUUCAGAAUGGGCGUUCCAUGCAGAACGCCGCAUUCUCUCACUUUAUUAACAGCCAGCAGGGCUGACGUUGCGCUUCGCGGGCACCGCUGCAGCGUCAGGG